GACGAACGCUGGCGGCGUGCUUAACACAUGCAAGUCGAACGAAGAGCGACGGAAGCUUGUUUCUAUCAAUCGUAGUGGCGAACGGGUGAGUAACGCGUAAUCAACCUGCCCGUCAGAGGGGGACAACAGUAGGAAACGACUGAUAAUACCGUAUACGAUCUAAUCUCGGCAUCGAGGAUAGAUGAAAGGUGGAUGCUACAUGUAAGCAAUGACUGAAGGAGGGGAGUGCGUCUGAUUAGCUAGUUGGAGGGGCAGCGGCCCAUCAAGGCGAGGAUGGGUAGGCAGCCUGAGAGGAUGAACGGCCGCACUGGGAGUUAGACAGUGCCCAGACUCCUUCGGGAGGCAGCAGUGAGGGACCUUCCGCAAAGGACGAGAGGCUGACAGGGCAAGGCCGGCUGAGUAAUGACGGCCCUCGGGUUGGUAAGCACGGUUAUUCGGGGCGAAAGGCCUUCUUGCGAAUAGGGGGAAGGAUUGACGGUACCGGAAGAGAAAGCCACGGCUAACUACGUG
rnacentral:rRNA from 1 species